rnacentral:rRNA from 1 species
UUGGAGGGCAAGUCUGGUGCCAGCAGCCGCGGUAAUUCCAGCUCCAAUAGCGUAUAUUAAAGUUGUUGCAGUUAAAAAGCUCGUAGUUGAAUUUCGGGAUUAGUACGUCGGUCGUGCCUUAGGUACGUACUGGUGUUACUGGUUCCUACCUUCUGACGAACCAUCAUGUCAUUAAUUUGGUGUGGUGGGGAAUCAGGACAGUUACUUUGAAAAAAUUAGAGUGUUUAAAGCAGGCUCGCGCUUGAAUACAUUAGCAUGGAAUAAUGAAAUAGGACG